rnacentral:rRNA from 1 species
UAGGGAAUCUUCGGCAAUGGACGAAAGUCUGACCGAGCAACGCCGCGUGAGUGAAGAAGGUUUUCGGAUCGUAAAACUCUGUUGUUAGAGAAGAACAAGUGAUAGAGUAACUGUUAUCACCUUGACGGUAUCUAACCAGAAAGCCACGGCUAACUACGUGCCAGCAGCCGCGGUAAUACGUAGGUGGCAAGCGUUGUCCGGAUUUAUUGGGCGUAAAGCGAGCGCAGGCGGUCUUUUAAGUCUGAUGUGAAAGCCCUCGGCUCAACCGAGGAAGGUCAUUGGAAACUGGGAGACUUGAGUGCAGAAGAGGAGAGUGGAAUUCCAUGUGUAGCGGUGAAAUGCGUAGAUAUAUGGAGGAACACCAGUGGCGAAGGCGACUCUCUGGUCUGUAACUGACGCUGAGGCUCGAAAGCGUGGGGAGCAAACAGG